CCAUUUAUUUGGUUUGAUCCUGCCAGCAGUCAUACGCUCGUCUCAAAGAUUAAGCCAUGCAUGUGUAAGUAUAAAUAUUUAACUUUGAAACUGCGAAUGGCUCAUUAUAUCAGUUAUAGUUUAUUUGAUGAAAAGUACUACUUGGAUAACCGUAGUAAUUCUAGAGCUAAUACAUGAUAAAAUCCUCGACUUUGAAGAGGUGUAUUUAUUAGAAUGAAACCAAUAGACUUCGGUCUGUUUGUGAGUAAUAAUAACUAAUCGUAUCGCAUGCUUAGGUAGCGAUAUGUCUUUCAAGUUUCUGCCCUAUCAGCUUUGGAUGGUAGUGUAUUGGACUACCAUGGCAGUAACGGGUAACGAAGAAUUUGGGUUCGAUUUCGGAGAGGGAGCCUGAGAGAUGGCUACCACAUCCAAGGAAGGCAGCAGGCGCGUAAAUUACCCAAUCCUGACAUAGGGAGGUAUUGACAAUAACCUACCAGUCGUUUCCGUCAGUGUUGCAGUUGGAUUGAGAUCAAAUACAAAUCCAUCGAUAUAAUAAUGGAGUGCAUGUUCGGUGGCACAGGCAUGUACUGGCCUGCCGCCUUGUCGCCGGG
rnacentral:rRNA from 1 species